AUCUGUUUCUUCAUCUCUUCCAUCUCAACACGACUCAUGCAGUAAGGGGUAACCGAGAUAGGCUGGGUGCCAAGCUAAAGAUUUAUACUGAACUCAAAUUCUCUAUCUACUGGCAGUGCAUGUGAAGCACUCAUAUCAAUCAAAACAUAUGCAAGGUAAUUACAGAUAGUGUAUGUACCUUGUAUCACGUCCGGGUUAGCUUCAACAUCCUAUUGAGUGAGGUUAUAAGCUCUGCCCUAGAUAGGAGGUCUGGUCUGCUUCUGAUUUUGUGGAAACUCUCUCGCGUAGUGUUGGGCACUCCCACAUAUACUGCAAGUAUCGUUGAGACGAUAGUAGGGUCGGUCUCCAUGAUCUUUGCCACAGUGCUGGCAAGUCUUACCACACUCUAUUGCAAGAGCCUGAGUCAUUGGCCUAGACCUCUUGUUCUGCGGAAUCGGUGCAGUGGAUG
rnacentral:lncRNA from 1 species